rnacentral:tRNA from 1 species
UGGCUCAGUUGAUAGAGCAUGGUGUUUGCAACGCCAGGGUUGUGGGUUCUAUUCCCAC